AGGGCACCGAUUGAUGUCCCU
rnacentral:snRNA from 1 species